rnacentral:tRNA from 2 species
AGGGACAUAGCUCAGUCGGUAGAGCAGCGGUCUCCAAAACCGUGUGUCGCAGGUUCGAGUCCUGCUGUCCUUG